UACGAAGGGGGCUAGCGUUGCUCGGAAUCACUGGGCGUAAAGCGCACGUAGGCGGGUCCUUAAGUCAGGGGUGAAAUCCCGGAGCUCAACUCCGGAACUGCCUUUGAUACUGGGGAUCUUGAGUCCGGAAGAGGUGAGUGGAACUCCGAGUGUAGAGGUGAAAUUCGUAGAUAUUCGGAAGAACACCAGUGGCGAAGGCGGCUCACUGGUCCGGUACUGACACUGAGACGCGAAAGCGUGGGGAGCGAACAGG
rnacentral:rRNA from 1 species